CUACCCAGAAGAGUGGCUCAAGUUCACAUUCAGAAUUUAUUUGUUGAAAGAGUAUCUCCACUUUAUCACAAUCGAGCACUUCCAAUUCUUUCAGAAGUGGCCAGCUUGAACUAAACCUUCUAGAGCAAAAUCUUUUGAGUUGGUGUAAACCGGAGAGUGUGAGAGAGGUAAGGUUAGGGAAUGAGAGUAAAGGUGCUGCUUCAUCUUCAUUUUCAUUGGCAACAAUUGCCUCCACUCCACUCUCCGAUAUAUAAAGGUCCUCAAGUUGCACAAGAGCACUCGCCACAGAAACCGGAAAAAGGUUUAGCAAUUUGUUGCAUCCCCUUCCUUGCAAUUUCCUUAAUUUGGAAAAUGAAUUUGCUGGAAGUUGGUCAGGCCACAAUGCUCUUAUAUUAUCUAGUCCACGUACAGACAAGGACUCCAAGCCUGGGAGUGCAACCUGUGCAAUUGAUGAUCCCUUUAGUUAAUAAUAUAUACAUAUACAUUCCUAAUAAUUAGACACAUGUAAAUAGAAAAUAAGAGGUUAAAGGAGAAUAUAUCAGUAUAACAAAGCACAAAAUUUAAACUAGAUUCAAGAAGAUCAAGAAAGAGAAAAGAAAAGAAAAAGCCUCCAGAUUUUGAAGAUACAAUGAAACUUAAAAAAAAAAAAAAAAAAACUUCCAAAUUUUCCUUUCGAAAUGAGGUAAUAAGAGGAUUUUUUUUUUCUUUUUUCUUUGCCUCUCUUUCAAAUUUGAUUAACUUCUAUGGAAAACGUAUUUUAACUAGUUAUGGAAAACCGAUUUUUUUUUUUUUAACUUUUAUAUAAGAUACAAGUAAUACUUUAAAAAAAUUGUGAUAUCUAAAUAAUUUUUUGAAAAAUUAUUUUUAAAGAAAUAAGGUAAAUCUAUACUUUUUGUACAAGAUGUUCUACCUUUAUAUACAAAUUUCUGAUUUUUUUUUUAAAAGUGUAUCCAAAUGGACACUAAACUAUCUAGUUUUUAAUUGUUACAACUUUGAAUUGGAUUUUAUGGUAAACUAAUUUACAAGUUAAUGCAUGGAUUCAUCUUAGAUUCCAUCUAUAAAUUUUUUUAAUUAUCUAAUAUAAGACAUUAUAUUAAUGAGUUGAAUUAAUAAUGUAAUUAUAAUUUAUUUGGCAACUUUCUUCCUUCAAAUAUAUAAAAUGAAAAUAAAGUUUAAAAAAUAAAAAAAAUGAAAAAAAUAAAAAAUAAAAAAUGAUUUUUUUUAUAGUUUUUCUAAGAUGAUUUUGUAGAGUACUGUUAGUUUAUAGUUUUAACUUUAUUUCAUUUUACUUUUAACUUUAUUUAUUGAGGUAUGUUCUUUUUUGAAACUCUUGUUUAGAUUUUAUAGAGAAUAUAAAUUUUAAGAAAAAAAAUGAAAUUUAAAUAAAAUAAGAAUAAAGAAAGGCAAAAGGUGGAUGAAUUUUUUUAAGGCAAAAGUUUGAUAACUUGGCACUAUCAUGUAAUGGGUGAAAUUUUUAAAUACUCAACAAAGGCUAGUGAAAUUUAAAUUAAAAGCUUGACAUGUACCUUUUCGACCAAAAUCUUUGGAGUUGGUGUAAAGUUUUGAGUAUGAGAGAGGUUAGUCUAGGGAAUAUUAUUGCACAUUAGUUCAAAUAAAACAUCAACAUUUUUUUUUUGUUAAAUUCUAAAUGAACACCGCUAUAAAUUAAUGCGAUUUUGUAUGCUCAAUUAAAUAAACUUGUUCUUAAGGCAUCACAUGAAGUGUUUAAGUCUAAUUAAUAUUAAUUAAAAAUGAUUAUAUUAAAAAAAAUCCAAAGUAAUUUAUUUUUAUCAUAAGUCAAGUAGGAUAGUUUUAUAAAUAAUUGGUUCUAGUUUCUAGUACUAUUGUACACAAUCGCUAUGUUUGUUGCACCUCCAAAAAAUCUACUACUUGUAAUUAAUUGUAUAUUAUUCUCCAUAUUCACAUCAGUUUAUGUAGUAUGAUUAAUUUAGCAACAAAAUAUAAGUUUACUUGAAAUCGCUUUAAAUUCCUAUGAUAUUAAAGUUUAAGAUUAAAACAAUGUAACAUUAGCCAAAAAGAUUAAGAUCUAUAAUGUAACAUAUAAUAUUUAGAAAAUUCAAGGAAGGGUAAACUCGCACCUGUUCUACCCAGAAGAGUGGCUCAAGUUCACAUUCAUAAUUUAUUUGUUGAAAGAGUAUCUCCACUUUAUCACAAUCGAGCACUUCCAAUUCUUUCAGAAGUGGCCAGCUUGAACUAAACCUUCUAGAGAAAAAUCUUUUGAGUUGGUGUAAACCGGAGAGUGUAAGAGAGGUAAGGUUAGGGAAUAAGAGUAAAAGUGCUGCUUCAUCUUCAUUUUCAUUGGCAACAAUUGCCUCCACUCCACUUUCCGAUAUAUAUAGGUCCUCAAGUUGCACAAGAGCACUCGCCACAGAAACCGGAAAAAGGUUUAGCAAUUUGUUGCAUCCCCUUACUUGCAAUUUCCUUAAUUUGGAAAAUGAAUUUGCUGGAAGUUGGUCAGACCACAAUGCUCUUAUAUUAUCUAGUCCGCGUACAGACAAGGACUCCAAACCUGGGAGUGCAACCUGUGCAAUUGAUGAUCCCUUUAGUUAAUAAUAUAUACAUAUACAUUCCUAAUAAUUAGACACAUGUAAAUAGAAAAUAAGAGGUUAAAGGAGAAUAUAUCAGUAUAACAAAGCACAAAAUUUAAACUAGAUUCAAGAAGAUCAAGAAAGAGAAAAGAAAAGAAAAAGCCUCCAGAUUUUGAAGAUACAAUGAAACUUAACAAAAAAAAAAAAAAACCACCAAAUUUUCCUUUCGAAAUGAGGUAAUAAGAGGAUUUUUUUUUUUUCUUUUUUCUUUGCCUCUCUUUCAAAUUUGAUUAACUUCUAUGGAAAACGUAUUUUAACUAGUUAUGGAAAACAUAUUUUUUUUUUAAAAAACUUUUCUAUAAGAUACAAGUAAUACUUUAAAAAAAUUGUGAUAUCUAAAAAAUUUUUUGAAAAAUUAUUUUUAAAGAAAUAAGGUAAAUCUAUACUUUUUGUAUAAGAUGUUCUACCUUUAUAUACAAAUUUCUGAUUUUUUUUUUAAAAGUGUAUCCAAAUGGACACUAAACUAUCUAGUUUUUAAUUGUUACAACUUUGAAUUGGAUUUUAUGGUAAACUAAUUUACAAGUUAAUGCAUGGAUUCAUCUUAGAUUCCAUCUAUAAAUUUUUUUAAUUAUCUAAUAUAAGACAUUAUAUUAAUGGGUUGAAUUAAUAAUGUAAUUAUAAUUUAUUUGGCAAGUUUCUUCCUUCAAAUAUAUAAAAUGAAAAUAAAUUUUAAAAAAUAAAAAAAAUGAAAAAAAUAAAAAAUAAAAAAAGAUUUUUUUUAUAGUUUUUCUAAGAUGAUUUUGUAGAGUACUGUUAGUUUAUAGUUUUAACUUUAUUUCAUUUUACUUUUAACUUUAUUUAUUGAGGUAUGUUCUUUUUUGAAACUCUUGUUUAGAUUUUAUAGAGGAUAUAAAUUUUCAGAAAAAAAAAAUUAAAUUUAAAUAAAAUAGGAAUAAAGAAAGGCAAAAGGUGGAUGAAUUUUUUUAAGGCAAAAGUUUGAUAACUUGGCACUAUCAUGUAAUGGGUGAAAUUUUUAAAUACUCAACAAAGGCUAGUGAAAUUUAAAUUAAAAGCUUGACAUGUACCUUUUCGACCAAAAUCUUUGGAGUUGGUGUAAAGUUUUGAGUAUGAGAGAGGUUAGUCUAGGGAAUAUUAUUGCACAUUAGUUCAAAUAAAACAUCAACAUUUUUUUUUUUGUUAAAUUCUAAAUGAACACCACUAUAAAUUAAUGCGAUUUGUAUGCUCAAUUAAAUAAACUCGUUCUUAAGGCAUCACAUGAAGUGUUUAAGUCUAAUUAAUAUUAAUUAAAAAUGAUUAUUUUAAAAAAAUCCAAAGUAAUUUAUUUUUAUCAUAAGUCAAGUAGGAUAGUUUUAUAAAUAAUUGGUUCUAGUUUCUAGUAUUAUUGUACACAAUCGCUAUGUUUGUUGCACCUCCAAAAAAUCUACUACUUGUAAUUAAUUGUAUAUUAUUCUCCAUAUUCACAUCAGUUUAUGUAGUAUGAUUAAUUUAGCAACAAAAUAUAAGUUUACUUGAAAUCGCUUUAAAUUCCUAUGAUAUUAAAGUUUAAGAUUAAAACAAUGUAACAUUAGCCAAAAAGACUAAGAUCUAUAAUGUAACAUAUAAAAUUUAGAAAAUUCAAGGAAGGGUAAACUCGCACCUGUUCUACCCAGAAGAGUGGCUCAAGUUCACAUUCAGAAUUUAUUUGUUGAAAGAGUAUCUCCACUUUAUCACAAUCGAGCACUUCCAAUUCUUUCAGAAGUGGCCAGCUUGAACUAAACCUUCUAGAGCAAAAUCUUUUGAGUUGGUGUAAACCGGAGAGUGUGAGAGAGGUAAGGUUAGGGAAUGAGAGUAAAGGUGCUGCUUCAUCUUCAUUUUCAUUGGCAACAAUUGCCUCCACUCCACUCUCCGAUAUAUAAAGGUCCUCAAGUUGCACAAGAGCACUCGCCACAGAAACCGGAAAAAGGUUUAGCAAUUUGUUGCAUCCCCUUACUUGCAAUUUCCUUAAUUUGGAAAAUGAAUUUGCUGGAAGUUGGUCAGGCCACAAUGCUCUUAUAUUAUCUAGUCCGCGUACAGACAAGGACUCCAAACCUGGGAGUGCAACCUGUGCAAUUGAUGAUCCCUUUAGUUAAUAAUAUAUACAUAUACAUUCCUAAUAAUUAGACACAUGUAAAUAGAAAAUAAGAGGUUAAAGGAGAAUAUAUCAGUAUAACAAAGCACAAAAUUUAAACUCUAUUCAAGAAGAUCCAGAAAGAGAAAAGAAAACGCCUUUUGAUUUUGAAGAUCCAAUGAAACUUUAAAAAAAAAAAAAAAAACCUCCAAAUUUUGCUUUCCAAAUGAGGUAAUAGGAGGAUAUUUUUAUUUUAUUUUUUCUUUGCCUCUCUUUCAAAUUUGAUUAACUUCCAUGGAAAACGUAUUUUAACUAGCCAUGGAAAAUGGAUUUUUUUUUUAAAACUUUUAUAUAAGAUACAAGAACUCUUAGAGGGUUACAUUAUGUAAGUAAUACUUUAAAAAAAAUGUUUAAAAAUAUUGUGAUAUCCAAAAAUUUUACUACCUCGGAUUUUAAAUUUUAAAAAAAUUAUUUUUAAAGAAAUAAGGUAAAUCUAUACUUUUUCGUAUAAGAUAUUCUACCUUUAUAUACAAAUUUCUGAUUUUUUUUUUAAAGUGUAUCCAAAUGGACACUAAACUAUCUAGUUUCGAAUUUUUACAACUUUGAAUUGGAUUUUAUGGUAAACUAAUUGACAAUAUAACGCAUGGAUUCAUCUUAGAUUCCAUCUAUAAAUUUUUUAAUUAUCUAAUAUAAGACAUUAUAUUAAUGGGUUGAAUUAAUAAUGUAAUUAUAAUUUAUUUGGCAACUUUCUUCCUUCAAAUAUAUAAGACGAAAAUAUAUUUUAAAAAAUAAAAAAGAAUGAUAAAAAAUAGAAAAUAAAAAUAGCUUAUUUUAUUGUUUUUCUAAGAUGAUUUUGUAGAGUGUUAGUUUAUAGUUUAACUUUAUUUCAUUUUACUUUUAACAUUAUUUAUUGAGGUAUGUUCUUUUUUGAAACUCUUGUUUAGAUUUUAUAGAGAAUAUAAAUUUUAAGAAAAAAAAUGAAAUUUAAAUAAAAUAAGAAUAAAGAAAGGCAAAAGGUGGAUGAAUUUUUUGAAGGCAAAAGUUUGAUAAUUUGGCACUGUCAUGUAAUGGGUGAAAUUUUUAAAUACUCAACAAAGGCUAGUGAAAUUUAAAUUAAAACCUUGACAUGUACCUUUUCGACCAAAAUCUUUGGAGUUGGUGUAAAGUUUUGAGUAUGAGAGAGGUUAGUCUAGGGAAUAUUAUUGCACAUUAGUUCAAAUAAAACAUCAACAUUUUUUUUUGUUAAAUUCUAAAUGAACACCACUAUAAAUUAAUGCGAUUUUGUAUGCUCAAUUAAAUAAACUCGUUCUUAAGGCAUCACAUGAAGUGUUUAAGUCUAAUUAAUAUUAAUUAAAAAUGAUUAUAUCAAAAAAAAUCCAAAGUAAUUUUUUUUUAUCAUAAGUCAAGUAGGAUAGUUUUAUAAAUAAUUGGUUCUAGUUUCUAGUAUUAUUGUACACAAUCGCUAUGUUUGUUGCACCUCCAAAAAAUCUACUACUUGUAAUUAAUUGUAUAUUAUUCUCCAUAUUCACAUCAGUUUAUGUAGUAUGAUUAAUUUAGCAACAAAAUAUAAGUUUACUUGAAAUCGCUUUAAAUUCCUAUGAUAUUAAAGUUUAAGAUUAAAACAAUGUAACAUUAGCCAAAAAGACUAAGAUCUAUAAUGUAACAAAUAAAAUUUAGAAAAUUCAAGGCAGGGUAAACUCGCACCUGUUCUACCCAGAAGAGUGGCUCAAGUUCACAUUCAGAAUUUAUUUGUUGAAAGAGUAUCUCCACUUUAUCACAAUCGAGCACUUCCAAUUCUUUCAGAAGUAGCCAGCUUGAACUAAACCUUCUAGAGCAAAAUCUUUUGAGUUGGUGUAAACCGGAGAGUGUGAGAGAGGUAAGGUUAGGGAAUAAGAGUAAAGGUGCUGCUUCAUCUUCAUUUUCAUUGGCAACAAUUGCCUCCACUCCACUCUCCGAUAUAUAUAGGUCCUCAAGUUGCACAAGAGCACUCGCCACAGAAACCCGAAAAAGGUUUAGCAAUUUGUUGAAUCCCCUUACAUGCAAUUUCCUUAAUUUGGAAAAUGAAUUUGUUGGAAGUUGGUCAGGCCACAAUGCUCUUAUAUUAUCCAGUCCGCAUACAUACAAGGACUCCAAGCCUUGGAGUGCAACCUGUGCAAUUGAUAAUCCCUUUGGUUAAUAAUAUAUACAUAUACAUUCCUAAUGAUUAGACACAUGUAAAUAGAAAAUAAGAGGUUAAAGGAGAAUAUAUCAGUAUAACAAAGCACAAAAUUUAAACUAGAUUAAAGAAGAUCAAGAAAGAGAAAAGAAAAGAAAAAGCCUCCAGAUUUUGAAGAUACAAUGAAACUUAAAAAAAAAAAAAAAAAACCUCCAAAUUUUCCUUUCGAAAUGAGGUAAUAAGAGGAUUUUUUUUUUCUUUUUUCUUUGCCUCUCUUUCAAAUUUGAUUAACUUCUAUGGAAAACGUAUUUUAACUAGUUAUGGAAAACGGAUUUUUUUUUUUAAAAACUUUUAUAUAAGAUACAAGUAAUACUUUAAAAAAAUUGUGAUAUCUAAAAAAUUUUUUGAAAAAUUAUUUUUAAAGAAAUAAGGUAAAUCUAUACUUUUUGUAUAAGAUGUUCUACCUUUGUAUUCAAAUUUCUGAUUUUUUUUUUUUAAAGUGUAUCCAAAUGCACACUAAACUAUCUAGUUUUUAAUUGUUACAACUUUGAAUUGGAUUUUAUGGUAAACUAAUUUACAAGUUAAUGCAUAGAUUCAUCUUAGAUUCCAUCUAUAAAUUUUUUUAAUUAUCUAAUAUAAGACAGUAUAUUAAUGGGUUGAAUUAAUAAUGUAAUUAUAAUUUAUUUGGCAACUUUCUUCCUUCAAAUAUAUAAAAUGAAAAUAAAUUUUAAAAAAUAAAAAAUAAAAAAAAGAUUUUUUUUAUAGUUUUUCUAAGAUGAUUUUGUAGAGUUCUGUUAGUUUAUAGUUUUCACUUUAUUUAUUGAGGUAUGUUCUUUUUUGAAACUCUUGUUUAGAUUUUAUUGAGAAUAUAAAUUUUAAGAAAAAAAAUAAAAUUUAAAUAAAAUAAGAAUAAAGAAAGGCAAAAGCUGGAUGAAUUUUUUUAAGGCAAAAGUUUGAUAAUUUGGCACUCUCAUGUAAUGGGUGAAAUUUUUAAAUACUCAACAAAGGCUAGUGAAAUUUAAAUUAAAACCAUGACAUGUACCUUUUAGACCAAAAUCUUUGGAGUUGGUGUAAUGUUUUGAGUAUGAGAGAGGUUAGUCUAGGGAAUAUUAUUGCACAUUAGUUCAAAUAAAACAUCAACAUUUUUUUUUGUUAAAUUCUAAAUGAACACCACUAUAAAUUAAUGCGAUUUUGUAUGCUCAAUUAAAUAAACUCGUUCUUAAGGCAUCACAUGAAGUGUUUAAGUCUAAUUAAUAUUAAUUAAAAAUGAUUAUAGUAAAAAAAAUCCAAAGUAAUUUUUUUUUAUCAUAAGUCAAGUAGGAUAGUUUUAUAAAUAAUUGGUUCUAGUUUCUAGUAUUAUUGUAGACAAUCGCUAUGUUUGUUGCACCUCCAAAAAAUCUACUACUUGUAAUUAAUUGUAUAUUAUUCUCCAUAUUCACAUCAGUUUAUGUAGUAUGAUUAAUUUAGCAACAAAAUAUAAGUUUACUUGAAAUGGCUUUAAAUUCCUAUGAUAUUAAAGUUUAAGAUUAAAACAAUGUAACAUUAGCAAAAAAGAUUAAGAUCUAUAAUGUAACAAAUAAAAUUUAGAAAAUUCAAGGCAGGGUAAACUCGCACCUGUUCUACCCAGAAGAGUGGCUCAAGUUCACAUUCAGAAUUUAUUUGUUGAAAGAGUAUCUCCACUUUAUCACAAUCGAGCACUUCCAAUUCUUUCAGAAGUAGCCAGCUUGAACUAAACCUUCUAGAGCAAAAUCUUUUGAGUUGGUGUAAACCGGAGAGUGUGAGAGAGGUAAGGUUAGGGAAUAAGAGUAAAGGUGCUGCUUCAUCUUCAUUUUCAUUGGCAACAAUUGCCUCCACUCCACUCUCUGAUAUAUAUAGGUCCUCAAGUUGCACAAGAGCACUCGCCACAGAAACCCGAAAAAGGUUUAGCAAUUUGUUGAAUCCCCUUACAUGCAAUUUCCUUAAUUUGGAAAAUGAAUUUGUUGGAAGUUGGUCAGGCCACAAUGCUCUUAUAUUAUCCAGUCCGCAUACAUACAAGGACUCCAAGCCUGGGAGUGCAACCUGUGCAAUUGAUAAUCCCUUUGGUUAAUAAUAUAUACAUAUACAUUCCUAAUAAUUAGACACAUGUAAAUAGAAAAUAAGAGGUUAAAGGAGAAUAUAUCAGUAUAACAAAGCACAAAAUUUAAACUAGAUUAAAGAAGAUCAAGAAAGAGAAAAGAAAAGAAAAAGCCUCCAGAUUUUGAAGAUACAAUGAAACUUAAAAAAAAAAAAAAAAAACCUCCAAAUUUUCCUUUCGAAAUGAGGUAAUAAGAGGAUUUUUUUUUUAUUUUUUCUUUGCCUCUCUUUCAAAUUUGAUUAACUUCUAUGGAAAACGCAUUUUAACUAGUUAUGGAAAACGGAUUUUUUUUUUUUAAAACUUUUAUAUAAGAUACAAGUAAUACUUUAAAAAAAUUGUGAUAUCUAAAAAAUUUUUUGAAAAAUUAUUUUUAAAGAAAUAAGGUAAAUCUAUACUUUUUGUAUAAGAUGUUCUACCUUUGUAUUCAAAUUUCUGAUUUUUUUUUUUAAAGUGUAUCCAAAUGCACAAUAAACUACCUAGUUUUUAAUUGUUACAACUUUGAAUUGGAUUUUAUGGUAAACUAAUUUACAAGUUAAUGCAUGGAUUCAUCUUAGAUUCCAUCUAUAAAUUUUUUUAAUUAUCUAAUAUAAGACAUUAUAUUAAUGGGUUGAAUUAAUAAUGUAAUUAUAAUUUAUUUGGCAACUUUCUUCCUUCAAAUAUAUAAAAUGAAAAUAAAUUUUAAAAAAUAAAAAAAAUGAAAAAAUAAAAAAUAAAAAAAAGAUUUUUUUUAUAGUUUUUCUAAGAUGAUUUUGUAGAGUACUGUUAGUUUAUAGUUUUCACUUUAUUUAUUGAGGUAUGUUCUUUUUUGAAACUCUUGUUUAGAUUUUAUUGAGAAUAUAAAUUUUAAGAAAAAAAAUGAAAUUUAAAUAAAAUAAGAAUAAAGAAAGGCAAAAGGUGGAUGAAUUUUUUUACGGCAAAAGUUUGAUAAUUUGGCACUAUCAUGUAAUGGGUGAAAUUUUUAAAUACUCAACAAAGGCUAGUGAAAUUUAAAUUAAAACCUUGACAUGUACCUUUUAGACCAAAAUCUUUGGAGUUGGUGUAAAGUUUUGAGUAUGAGAGAGGUUAGUCUAGGGAAUAUUAUUGCACAUUAGUUCAAAUAAAACAUCAACAUUUUUUUUUGUUAAAUUCUAAAUGAACACCACUAUAAAUUAAUGCGAUUUUGUAUGCUCAAUUAAAUAAACUCGUUCUUAAGGCAUCACAUGAAGUAUUUAAGUCUAAUUAAUAUUAAUUAAAAAUGAUUAUAGUAAAAAAAAUCCAAAGUAAUUUUUUUUUAUCAUAAGUCAAGUAGGAUAGUUUUAUAAAUAAUUGGUUCUAGUUUCUAGUAUUAUUGUAGACAAUCGCUAUGUUUGUUGCACCUCCAAAAAAUCUACUACUUGUAAUUAAUUGUAUAUUAUUCUCCAUAUUCACAUCAGUUUAUGUAGUAUGAUUAAUUUAGCAACAAAAUAUAAGUUUACUUGAAAUGGCUUUAAAUUCCUAUGAUAUUAAAGUUUAAGAUUAAAACAAUGUAACAUUAGCCAAAAAGAUUAAGAUCUAUAAUGUAACAUAUAAAAUUUAGAAAAUUCAAGGAAGGGUAAACUCGCACCUGUUCUACCCAGAAGAGUGGCUCAAGUUCACAUUCAGAAUUUAUUUGUUGAAAGAGUAUCUCCACUUUAUCACAAUAGAGCACUUCCAAUUCUUUCAGAAGUGGCCAGCUUGAACUAAACCUUCUAGAGCAAAAUCUUUUGAGUUGGUGUAAACCGGAGAGUGUGAGAGAGGUAAGGUUAGGGAAUAAGAGUAAAGGUGCUGCCUCAUCUUCAUUUUCAUUGGCAACAAUUGCCUCCACUCCACUCUGAAAUAUAUUUAGGUUCUCAAGUUGCACAAGAGCACUCGCCACAGAAACCGGAAAAAGGUUUAGCAAUUUGUUGCAUCCCCUUACUUGCAAUUCCCUUAAUUUGGAAAAUGAAUUUGCUGGAAGUUGGUCAGGCCACAAUGCUCUUAUAUUAUCUAGUCCGCAUACAGAAAAGGACUCCAAGCCUGGGAGUGCAACCUGUGCAAUUGAUGAUCCCUUUAGUUAAUAAUAUAUACAUAUACAUUCCUAAUAAUUAGCACAUGUAAAUAGAAAAUAAGAGGUUAAAGGAGAAUAUAUCAGUAUAACAAAGCACAAAAUUUAAACUAGAUUCAAGAAGAUCAAGAAAGAGAAAAGAAAAGAAAAAGCCUCCAGAUUUUAAAGAUACAAUGAAACUUAAAAAAAAAAAAAAAAAACCUCCAAAUUUUCCUUUCGAAAUGAGGUAAUAAGAGGAUUUUUUUUUUUUUCUUUUUUCUUUGCCUCUCUUUCAAAUUUGAUUAACUUCUAUGGAAAACGUAUUUUAACUAGUUAUGGAAAACGGAUUUUUUUUUUAAACUUUUAUAUAAGAUACAAGUAAUACUUUUAAAAAAUUGUGAUAUCUAAAAAAGUUUUUGAAAAAUUAUUUUUAAAGAAAUAAGGUAAAUCUAUACUUUUUGUAUAAGAUCUUCUACCUUUAUAUACAAAUUUCUGAUUUUUUUUUUUAAAGUGUAUCCAAAUGGACACUAAACUAUCUAGUUUUUAAUUGUUACAACUUUGAAUUGGAUUUUAUGGUAAACUAAUUUACAAGUUAAUGCAUGGAUUCAUCUUAGAUUCCAUCUAUAAAUUUUUUUAAUUAUCUAAUAUAAGACAUUAUAUUAAUGGGUUGAAUUAAUAAUGUAAUUAUAAUUUAUUUGGCAACUUUCUUCCUUCAAAUAUAUAAAAUGAAAAUAAAUUUUAAAAAAUAAAAAAGAAUGAAAAAAAUAAAAAAUAAAAAAAGCUUUUUUUUAUAGUUUUUCUAAGAUGAUUUUGUAGAGUACUGUUAGUUUAUAGUUUUAACUUUAUUUCAUUUUACUUUUAACUUUAUUUAUUGAGGUAUGUUCUUUUUUGAAACUCUUGUUUAGAUUUUAUAGAGAAUAUAAAUUUUAAGAAAAAAAAAGGAAAUUUAAAUAAAAUAAGAAUAAAGAAAGGCAAAAGGUGGAUGAAUUUUUUUAAGGCAAAAGUUUGAUAAUUUGGCACUAUCAUGUAAUGGGUGAAAUUUUUAAAUACUCAACAAAGGCUAGUGAAAUUUAAAUUAAAAGCUUGACAUGUACCUUUUCGACCAAAAUCUUUGGAGUUGGUGUAAAGUUUUGAGUAUGAGAGAGGUUAGUCUAGGGAAUAUUAUUGCACAUUUGUUCAAAUAAAACAUCAACAUUUUUUUUUGUUAAAUUCUAAAUGAACACCACUAUAAAUUAAUGCGAUUUUGUAUGCUCAAUUAAAUAAACUCAUUCUUAAGGCAUCACAUGAAGUGUUUAAGUCUAAUUAAUAUUAAUUAAAAAUGAUUAUAUUAAAAAAAAUCCAAAGUAAUUUAUUUUUAUCAUAAGUCAAGUAGGAUAGUUUUAUAAAUAAUUGGUUCUAGUUUCUAGUAUUAUUGUACACAAUCGCUAUGUUUGUUGCACCUCCAAAAAUCUACUACUUGUAAUUAAUUGUAUAUUAUUCUCCAUAUUCACAUCAGUUUAUGUAGUAUGAUUAAUUUAGCAACAAAAUAUAAGUUUACUUGAAAUCGCUUUAAAUUCCUAUGAUAUUAAAGUUUAAGAUUAAAACAAUUUAACAUUAGCCAAAAAGAUUAAGAUCUAUAAUGUAACAUAUAAAAUUUAGAAAAUUCAAGGAAGGGUAAACUCGCACCUGUUCUACCCAGAAGAGUGGCUCAAGUUCACAUUCAGAAUUUAUUUGUUGAAAGAGUAUCUCCACUUUAUCACAAUCGAGCACUUCCAAUUCUUUCAGAAGUGGCCAACUUGAACUAAACUUUCUAGAGCAAAAUCUUUUGAGUUGGUGUAAACCGGAGAGUGUGAGAGAGGUAAGGUUAGGGAAUAAAAGUAAAAGUGCUGCUUCAUCUUCAUUUUCAUUGUGAACAAUUGCCUCCACUCCACUAUAAAAUAUAUUUAGGUUCUCAAGUUGCACAAGAGCACUCGCCACAGAAACCGGAAAAAGGUUUAGCAAUUUGUUGCAUCCCCUUACUUGCAAUUUCCUUAAUUUGGAAAAUGAAUUUGCUGGAAGUUGGUCAGGCCACAAUGCUCUUAUAUUAUCUAGUCCGCAUACAGACACGGACUCCAAGCCUGGGAGUGCAACCUGUGCAAUUGAUGAUCCCUUUAGUUAAUAAUAUAUACAUAUACAUUCCUAAUAAUUAGACACAUGUAAAUAGAAAAU
rnacentral:lncRNA from 1 species